AAGUUGGUUAAUCAAUAGUGGAGGCUGGGGAGCACAUAUCUUUGAAAUGUGAAUCCGGGGGUUCGACUCCCCACCAACCCA
rnacentral:tRNA from 1 species